rnacentral:ncRNA from 1 species
AGGGACCGAACUGUCUCACGACGUUCUAAACCCAGCUCGCGUACCGCUUUAAUGGGCGAACAGCCCAACCCUGUGAGGCUCCCAGUAGACUACUGGGUUGAUAGGCCAGAUGUGGAAGCACGGCAACGUGUGGAGCUGACUGGUACUAAUAAGCCGAUGACUUGAUUUU